rnacentral:sRNA from 1 species
AAACACAGUAAUUCCUGAUACUAAGAAGAGGCUUGGGUGCCUUAAGUAAAUACACGUGGGCAUGAAGGCCUGAUGGGGUAGAGAUCUGAAGUAGUCCUGCCAAGAACUGGGUUUACUUCUUUGUGAAUGUUACUACUCUUACACAGAAACCUCAUAUGAAUUAUCAUCCUCUGACUUAAGGAUAACAGUCAGUCUGGGAGACGUUUGGUGCUCAGAAUUUUGAUGUCAUACGACUGUCAACUUACAGAACAGCCUGCAAAUUACGAUUUGUACAAAAACGAUGCAACCUUCAUCUUGUUGAUAUCUGGAACAUGAUUGAAGCCUUCCGAGACAAUGGCCUUAAUACACUGGACCAUACCACCGAGAUCAGUGUGUCCCGCCUCGAAACUGUCAUCUCCUCCAUCUACUAUCAGUUGAACAAGCGCCUUCCUUCUACUCACCAAAUUAGUGUGGAACAAUCUAUCAGCCUCCUCCUCAACUUUAUGAUUGCUGCAUAUGACAGUGAGGGCCGAGGCAAGUUGACGGUAUUUUCAGUUAAAGCUAUGUUAGCAACCAUGUGUGGUGGA